UAAAUAAAAAACGAUAAUACACUGUAGUUACAUAAAAAUAUGUACCUACAACUUCUACAAAGACUGAAGGCAAAACUUUCAAAAAAAAUUAAAUGAUAUGCAUGACUUAAUAAAGCCAGACGAACUGAAGUUUUGAACUAAUUUUCUGUAUCUAGGUACAAUUUAAAACAAUUUAAUAUGAACUAUUAAUUAAUAAUACACAAUCAACGCAAUCAACUAAGCUAGACUUGAGAUACCCUUAGCAUAACCAACAAUUCAUGGUUGUUCUUUAGAUCGUCAUCAUAUGUUUUGUUAUGAAAGGACAAAUUAUUCGGUUACCUUUAGAGUGUACAUCACUAUGAUACAUGGAAACAAAAAUUACAAAUGGUAAUUACGAAAAACAAAAAAAGAAAAAUUGUAAAGAAAAUACAAGCAAAAUGUUUGGCAAAAAUUUUGAUUGCGAAGUGGCUAACUACACCAAAAACUGCAUGUAGGAUUCUGAAUUUGUGCGGAGAUUUUGAAUACGUUAAGAAUUUUGGAAAAUCUAAAUAAUAAAAAGUCCGUGGUAACCCUGGAGACCCAUGGCCAGAUAUCAAAGAAGGCAAUUGUUGUGUUCUAUAAAUGAUAUGUCAAUGUACGGUACGUUUUCUAUAUAACGAGAUAAACAACAAACAAGGCGCAACUAAUAACAACACAAUAAGAGCAAGCAAGAGAGCGAGAGAAAGAGUGGCAGUACAAGGGAGAGCAAGAAAAGAUACCAAAGCGGGGACAUAGAUAACUAUAAAAAUAGAACCUUCAGUGCACAAUAACAAUUCGCAUCCCACAAUUCUUUCAAAACAAACGACAAAUUGGCAACCCUUAUGGAAGCGUUCAUGGCGUGUAUGCACAAAAAAAUGAAAACAAAAACGGAUUAUUUUAAACUGUCGCAACUAGCUCUAUUAUAUAUAAGCAUAUUUUCUACUUUUCCUAU